rnacentral:sRNA from 1 species
GCGGAGGAAAAGAAACCAACAGGGAUUGCCCUAGUAACGGCGAGUGAAGCGGCAACAGCUCAAAUUUGAAAUCUGGCGUCUUCGGCGUCCGAGUUGUAAUUUGCAGAGGGCGCUUUGGCAUUGGCAGCGGUCCAAGUUCCUUGGAACAGGACGUCACAGAGGGUGAGAAUCCCGUACGUGGUCGCUAGCCUUUACCGUGUAAAGCCCCUUCGACGAGUCGAGUUGUUUGGGAAUGCAGCUCUAAAUGGGAGGUAAAUUUCUUCUAAAGCUAAAUACUGGCCAGAGACCGAUAGCGCACAAGUAGAGUGAUCGAAAGAUGAAAAGCACUUUGGAAAGAGAGUUAAAAAGCACGUGAAAUUGUUGAAAGGGAAGCGCUUGCAGCCAGACUUGCCUGUAGUUGCUCAUCCGGGUUUCUACCCGGUGCACUCUUCUAUAGGCAGGCCAGCAUCAGUUUGGGCGGUUGGAUAAAGGUCUCUGUCAUGUACCUCUCUUCGGGGAGAACUUAUAGGGGAGACGACAUGCAACCAGCCCGGACUGAGGUCCGCGCAUCUGCUAGGAUGCUGGCGUAAUGGCUGUAAGCGGCCCGUCUUGAAACACGGACCAAGGAGUCUAACAUCUAUGCGAGUGUUUGGGUGUCAAGCCCGAGCGCGUAAUGAAAGUGAACGGAGGUGGGAACCUUUCGGGGUGCACCAUCGACCGAUCCUGAUGUCUUCGGAUGGAUUUGAGUAAGAGCAUAGCUGUUGGGACCCGAAAGAUGGUGAACUAUGCUUGAAUAGGGUGAAGCCAGAGGAAACUCUGGUGGAGGCUCGCAGCGGUUCUGACGUGCAAAUCGAUCGUCAAAUUUG